rnacentral:rRNA from 1 species
AUCGAACGCUGGCGGCAGGCCUAACACAUGCAAGUCGAACGAGUGGCGGACGGGCGAGUAAUGUCUGGGAAACUGCCUGAUGGAGGGGGAUAACUACGGGAAACGGUAGCUACUAGCGCAAAACAUCGGAUGGGCCCAGGUGGGUUUAGCUAGUAGGUGGGGUAAAGGUGCACCUAGGCGACGAUCCGUAGCUGGUCUGAGAGGAUGAUCAGCCACACUGGAACUGAGACACGGUCCAGACUCCUACGGGAGGCAGCAGUGGGGAAUAUUGGGCAAUGGGCGCAAGCCUGAUCCAGCCAUACCGCGUGGGUGAAGAAGGCUUUCGGGUUGUAAAGCCCUGUUGUUGGGAAAGCGGUACCCAAAGAAUAAGCACCGGCUAACUACGUGCCAGCAGCCGCGGUAAUAC